AUAUUGGUGGCUCAGUGGUAGAGUCUCCGUCUCCCACACGGGGGACCCAGGCUUGAAUCCCGGUCGGCGCC
rnacentral:tRNA from 1 species